CAAACGGCUCUUUUCAGAGCCACCAACACUGUGAUAAAGAGCGGCU
rfam:Takifugu rubripes chromosome, Chr_10